GGAUUCAUCUCCCGUCAUGUGUUUGGAGCAUCCACUAUCAAGGUACCAUAGUACGCUUGAUCACUUCAAGCAUACCUACAAAACAAAUUAAUUUUCUUUGGGUACCCAUGCAAUCUUGGGUCCUUGAGGGUUAGGCAUAUUGUAAUAAUAUGUUUGAGUAGCAUAUCUAUGACGAGUAAAACAUGCGGGAGCAAUAUGACCAAUGCGUCUACAAUAAUGACAUGUCAC
rnacentral:lncRNA from 1 species